rnacentral:rRNA from 1 species
CGGCACGGGUGAGUAACACGUAUCCAACCUGCCGUCUACUCUUGGACAGCCUUCUGAAAGGAAGAUUAAUACAAGAUGGCAUCAUGAGUCCGCAUGUUCACAUGAUUAAAGGUAUUCCGGUAGACGAUGGGGAUGCGUUCCAUUAGAUAGUAGGCGGGGUAACGGCCCACCUAGUCUUCGAUGGAUAGGGGUUCUGAGAGGAAGGUCCCCCACACUGGAACUGAGACACGGUCCAA